CUUCAGUUCAUCGUUACACUGAGGUUUGCCUCACUGAGAGCCAAGGGGCAGUCAGGGAUUGCAGGGAGAAAACGCUGAGAAUGGCAGUGACCCUGGAAGCAGCAAGGGUGAACUUGUCUGCUGCUUCUCCCGUGGAAGUCACGGUCAAUGGGGCCAUUUCUCAGAUUGAGGGCCAGCUCUCUACUAAGCAGUGAGGCACGACUACAAGAGGGACUAUCCAAAGGUCAGACCAGUGCAUGACCAAUUUCAGGAUGGCUGUCAGAGCUGAGUGUGCUGUUUCUGCAAGUAACCCACUCCCUCCAAUAAAAGCUCUUGUCCACCAAUUGUCAGUGGAGGUGACUUGGCCUUUGGACAGAAGCCACCCACCCCAAUUCCCUGCCAUUGCUGGCAUUCAAAAUAAAGCACUUUUCCUUUCCA